rnacentral:tRNA from 1 species
CCGGAAUCGGUAGACGCUACGGACUUAAAAUCCGUCGACUUUAGAAAUCGUGAGGGUUCAAGUCCCUCUAUCCCCA